GGGCACUCUAAGGAGACUGCCGGUGACAAACCGGAGGAAGGUGGGGAUGAACGUCAAGUCAUCAUGGCCCUUACGGCCUGGGCUACACACGUGCUACAAUGGUCGGUACAAAGGGUUGCCAAGCCGCGAGGUGGAGCUAAUCCCAUAAAACCGAUCGUAGUCCGGAUCGCAGUCUGCAACUCGACUGCGUGAAGUCGGAAUCGCUAGUAAUCGUGAAUCAGAAUGUCACGGUGAAUACGUUCCCGGGCCUU
rnacentral:rRNA from 1 species